GGCUCUGUGGCUCAAUGGAUAGCGCAUUGGACUUCUAGGCUCUGAGCUAAGCCAUUUAAAGGUUGUGGGUUCGAGUUCCACCAGAGUCA
rfam:Danio rerio chromosome 4, GRCz11 reference primary assembly.